rnacentral:rRNA from 1 species
GGCUGUCGUCAGCUCGUGUCGUGAGAUGUUGGGUUAAGUCCCGCAACGAGCGCAACCCACGUCUUUAGUUGCCAGCAUUCAGUUGGGCACUCUAGAGAGACCGCCGGUGAUAAACCGGAGGAAGGUGUGGAUGACGUCAAGUCAUCAUGCCCCUUACAUCCUGGGCUACACACGUACUACAAUGCUACGGACAAAGGGCAGCAAACUCGCGAGAGCUAGCAAAUCCCAUAAACCGUGGCUCAGUUCAGAUCGUAGGCUGCAACUCGCCUACGUGGAGGAGGAAUCGCUAGUAAUCGCAGGUCAGCAUACUGCGGUGAAUACGUUCCCGGGCCUUGUACACACCGCCCGUCACACCAUGGAAGUUGGCCACGCCCGAAGUCGUUACUCCAACCCUUGUGGAGGAGGAUGCCGAAGGUGGGGCUGAUGACUGGGGUGAAGUCGUAACAAGGUAGCCGUACCGGAAGGUGCGGCUGGAUCACCUCCUAA